AGGGCCUUCACUGCUUCUCCUCCCAGACAGCAAUGGCUUUGUUUUAAUGACUGUUUUUCAACAUUGAACUAUAUAGCAUUUACUCAAUUAACUGUCAGCAAAAUAAUGUCACCUGCUUAAUUUCAAACACUGGUGAGGGUGGGGAGUACCACCAUCUUAGAGGUGAAGCUGGAAAAACGUGGUGAGAUGGAUUCAUACUGUACAAGAUGUGAGGAAUAUCCUUUUUAUCACAAGAAAGACUAUGAGAAUCCACCAAUGGAGGAGUGGCUAUUCACAAAGUCUUUCAGGGCUGGGUGUUUAUUCAAGUCCUUAAGCCAUCUGGAACUGUGGGCUGGACUUGGACAUCCUCUUCCUUGGAGCUCUUCCCCCUUUUUCCUUCCAAGAUGGACAGUGGAAGAUUCAGUAAACAUUAUUACUGUUUCGAUCUGAUGGGAUUCUGGGAGAGAGACACCUGGUUAAGUUCACACCCGUGAUUAUCAUUUUUACUGAGAGAACCAUGCCAUGGAACUCAAGAUGCUCCUACUGACAUGUGUGACUAUCUCCAUAUCCACAAGUAGAACUAAUGUGAUCAGGCCUCCCUGCCUUUCUAGAUUCUGGUAUGUAUCAAAGUAUGUAAGCGAUGUCUUGAAAAAUAAAUUUAUACUAUGAAGAUAUGACAUACUAUCCAUUCUCUUCAUAUAUUUGGGCUACUAUAAUGUAACAUCACAGACUAGACAGUUUUGAAUAACAGAAACUUAGUUCUCUCAGUCAUGGGGGUUGGAAAGUUCAAGACCAAGGUAUCAACUGCUUCAAUGUCUGGUGACAGCCCACUUUCUCAUAGAUGGUAGCUUCUCACUCUACCCUCACAUGGUAGAAACAGCAAGGGAGUUCUCUGUUGCUGCUUUUAUAAGGACACUGCUGUAAUUUAUUUUCUACUGCUGUGACAAACACCCUGACCAAAACCAGUGUAGGAGAGGGAAAGGUUUAUUUAGCUUGCAAUUCCAGGCCCAUUGUCCUGGCUAGCUUUCUGUCAACUCGACACAUGUUGAAGUCAUCUGAGAGGAAGGAACCUCAAUUAAGAAAAUAGUCCCCAAAAGAUGUGGCUGUAAAAUUGAGAGCAUGGGAAGAGGGGGGAGGGAGCUACGAGAAUGAAAAGGGAAGAAGAGGAAGGAUGCAGAGGUCAUGAGGGAGCAGAAAGGUUGAGUCAGGGGAAGAAUAGAAGAAAGGGUAUGUGAUAGGUAGGGUUUUAAUUGGGGGGUGGUAGGGGAGGAAGGGAGGGAAAGGGGAACUGGGAUUGUCAUGUAAUUCAAUCUUGUUUCUAAUUCAAAUAAAAAAUGAUUUAAAAAAAGAUGUGGUUGUUGGGUAGUGGUGGCACACACCUUUAGUACCAGCACUCAGGAGGCAGAGGCAGGCAGAUCUCUGUGAGUUCAAGACCAGCCUGGUCUACAGAGUGAGUUCCAGGACAGCCAGGGCUAUGCAGAGGAACUUUGUCUCAAAAAACAAACAAAAUAAAACAAACAAAUAAAGAUGGGGCUUUAGGCAAGCCUAUAGGGCAUUUUCUUAAUUUCUGUUUGACAGGGGAGAGCCCAGCUUAUUGUGGGUUGUGCCAUCCCUGGUAGUCCUGGGUUCUAUAAGAAAGCUGGCUGAACAAUCCAGGGGGAGCAAUCCAGUAAGCAGCACCCCUCUAAGCCCUCUGCAUCAGCUCCUGCCUCUAGGUUCUUGCCCUGCCUGAGUUCCUGUCCUCAUUGCUUUUGAUGAUGAACUGUUGUAUGGAACUGUGAAUGAAAUAAGUCCUUUCCUACCAAGUUACUUUGGUCAUGGUGUUUCAUCAAAGCAAUCUUAACCAUAACUAAGACAUCCAUCUUUAAGGGGAAGUCGACACAAGAACUCAAGUGGCUAGUCAUGUCACAGCUAUAGUCAAGAGCAGAAAGAAACAAAUGCACUCAUGCUGACUGCUUACUUGUUUGGUUAUGCUUCGUCUAUCUGUACAGGAAAUGGUGCCAGGCACAAUGGAUGGAACUCUUCCAAAUCAGUUAACUAUCAAGAUAAUCCUCCACAGGCAUGUUCACAAGCCAAUUUGAUCUAGGCAGUACCUCAGUUGAGACUCUCUUCCCACAUUAUUCCAGGCUGUGGCAAGUUGACAGUUAAAACCAACCAGCACGUUCACUAAUUCCAUCCACCAAGACAAGCCCUCAAGGCUUAAUCACCUUCCCAAAAGUCAUCGCUUCCUAAUGCUAUAGGUUAUAUGCCACUUCCUAAUAUUUUAGAUUAUAAAAUAUGAAUCUGGUGAGGAUUCAAGCAUAGCAUUUUAAGAAGUAGCAGCAACAGUGACAGUAGGGGCAGUAGUGUCAUACUCUGUCCUUUAGCAUUUAGGUUUCUGCUAUCUCUGUGUGACUGGCAUAAGAGGUCAUGUUGUGUUGUAUGCAGCUAGCUCUUACAGUACUUUGGCAAACUUACUCCCAUUGAGAAUGUUGCUUUUAUGUAGAAUACCUCUUAGAGUCUGGGGCUCCUCUCUCAGGGAUUGUGAGUCUCUGAAAGGCUGAACAGAGUCUAGUUCAUAGCUGGGAAACCUUGGAAUGAGCAGAUCCUGGAGUCACAGGGACUUGAGGCAGUGAAGUAGCAUUUGAUCCUUCUUAUUGGGUGUGCCUCUGAGGUUGGUACUGCCUGGAUACUUCUAGUUAGUAAAUAGUUUGCAUUCGUGGAAAAGAGAAGGAAAAAAAAAUCAUCAAUGACUUCAUCAAACCCACUAUGCCACAGUUCCUAUUUCAGAAAGAAAACUCUAUUUCCCCUUAGGUAAAAAUGUCUGGGGAGGAAGAGAGUCCAUCUGUCUAGAGCAGGCAACUAUUGAAUUACAUAGUGAAAUAUGUUGGCUCAUUUUAGAUGAUGUCCGUUAUUGUUGAAUUGCU
ensembl:lincRNA